rnacentral:snRNA from 1 species
GAUCAAAGUGUAGUAUCUGUUCUUAUCAGCUUAAUAUCUGAUACGCUCCCCAUUGGGGAGCUUCGAUAUUAAACUGAUUUUUGGAAUUCGGCCAAAAUUCAGGAGCUUGCUCCGACUUGGCCACGGGUUGGC